rnacentral:rRNA from 1 species
CCUACGGGAGGCAGCAGUGGGGAAUAUUGCACAAUGGGGGAAACCCUGAUGCAGCGACGCCGCGUGAGUGAAGAAGUAAUUCGUUAUGUAAAGCUCUAUCAGCAGGGAAGAAAAUGACGGUACCUGAGUAAGAAGCCCCGGCUAACUACGUGCCAGCAGCCGCGGUAAUACGUAGGGGGCAAGCGUUAUCCGGAUUUACUGGGUGUAAAGGGAGCGUAGACGGGAGUGCAAGUCUGGAGUGAAAGGCUGGGGCUCAACCCCCGGACUGCUCUGGAAACUGUACGGCUGGAUUGCAGGAGAGGUAAGUGGAAUUCCUAGUGUAGCGGUGAAAUGCGUAGAGAUUAGGAGGAACACCAGUGGCGAAGGCGGCUUACUGGACUGUAACUGACGUUGAGGCUCGAAAGCGUGGGGAGCAAACAGGAUUAGAUACCCCAGUAGUC